UUCCUUAUGAACUGAUUUUUAAGAAAAUCUUUCGAUGUCUAUACUGCACUUUACUUUACAGAUUUAAGACUAAUAAAAUUUUUAAAUAGAAUAAUAUUAUAUAUAUACAUAUUUAUUUUUCCUUUUUAAAGGAAGACUUUCAUGUUCCAAUGUUAGAUAGUAAACUUUUGAACCAUCUUGAACUGAUGGUUUAUCUUUUAUGGAUUUUACCAGUUAUCUUAAAUAUUUCUAGACGAAUCUUUAUUGAAGACGUCCUGAAGAUUGAUUGCUGUGUUGUUGCACUGACUGAAUCUCAUUUCAUUUUCGAGAUAUAUGCUCCGCUAGUUUUAUCACUUUUAUGUGUCCGUGUUAUUGAUUUUCUGAAAAUGUUGUCUUCUGUCAGAAAAAACAACAAAGGCCGCAGAAGAAAUUGAAGGCAUAUAAUCUAUCUUCACUUUUAGAGUCUCUUCCUGAGGUGAAGGCAUCAAAGAAACCAGGUUGUGAGAAUGACAGCAAACUUAAGUGUAAAUCCAGGCAGAUGUUAGUAUUGACUGAAAGAGAUCAAAUUUCUGCUGUUCUCAAUGAUCCUAACUUUCAAGCGGAUCCACUGUCUGCCAUUCAUCAAUAUAUAUAGAACAAGCAACCAUUAGUAGAGGAACAACCCAAGAAAAAAGUGAACAAAAAUGGAUCCAAGAAGAAGAAGAAAUCAAAGGCUUCAACUGGACUACAAUCUAGGGAAAUGUACUGUCUUUGUGUGGCUGCUAUAAAUGAUCAUUUUUUUUCAGGGUCUUUCCAUAAUUUUAUUACUUCCUCUGUAAAAUCGAAUUAUGAAUGCAAAAAUCAACGGUUAUGGUAA